rnacentral:rRNA from 1 species
UACGUAGGGGGCAAGCGUUGUCCGGAUUUAUUGGGCGUAAAGAGCGUGUAGGCGGCUUGGUAGGUCCGCUGUGAAAACUCGAGGCUCAACCUCGAGAUGUCGGCGGAAACCACUUGGCUAGAGUCCGGAAGAGGAGAGUGGAAUUCCCGGUGUAGCGGUGAAAUGCGCAGAUAUCGGGAAGAACACCAGUGGCGAAGGCGGCUAACUGGUCCAGAUCUGACGCUGAGGUGCGAAAGCGUGGGGAGCAAACAGG